rnacentral:rRNA from 1 species
AACCAGCACCUCAAGUGGUCAGGAUGAUUAUUGGGCCUAAAGCAUCCGUAGCCGGCUCUGUAAGUUUUCGGUUAAAUCUAUGCGCUCAACGUAUAGGCUGCCGAAAAUACUGUAGAGAUAGGGAGUGGGAGAGGUAGACGGUACUCGGUAGGAAGGGGUAAAAUCCUUUGAUCUAUCGAUGACCACCUGUGGCGAAGGCGGUCUACCAGAACACGUUCGACGGUGAGGGAUGAAAGCUGGGGGAGCAAACCGG